AACGAACGCUGGCGGCAGGCUUAACACAUGCAAGUCGAGCGCCCCGCAAGGGGAGCGGCAGACGGGUGAGUAACGCGUGGGAACGUACUCUUUGCUACGGAAUAGCUCCGGGAAACUGGAAUUAAUACCGAAUGUGCCCUACGGGGGAAAGAUUUAUCGGCAAAGGAUCGGCCCGCGUUGGAUUAGCUAGUUGGUGGGGUAAUGGCCUACCAAGGCGACGAGCCAUAGCGGGUCUGAGAGGAUGAUCAGCAACAUUGGGACUGAGACACGGCCCAAACUCCUACGGGAGGCAGCAGUGGGGAAUAUUGGACAAUGGGCGCAAGCCUGAUCCAGCCAUGCCGCGUGAGUGAUGAAGGCCUUAGGGUUGUAAAGCUCUUUCACCGGAGAAGAUAAUGACGGUAUCCGGAGAAGAAGCCCCGGCUAACUUCGUGCCAGCCGCCGCCGUAAAAC
rnacentral:rRNA from 1 species